rnacentral:rRNA from 1 species
AGGGAAGCGAGACGGUGACGUGGAGCGAAUCCCAAAAAUAAACGUCCCAGUUCGGAUUGUAGUCUGCAACCCGACUACAUGAAGCUGGAAUCGCUAGUAAUCGCGGAUCAGCAUGCCGCGGUGAAUACGUUCUCGGGCCUUGUACACACCGCCCGUCACACCAUGGGAGUCGGUAACACCCGAAGUCUGUAGCCUGACGCAAGAGGGCGCAGCCGAAGGUGGGAUUGGUAAUUGGGGUGAAGUCGUAACAAGGUAAC